rnacentral:rRNA from 1 species
AUGGCUUCAUCCGGUUCCAUGACGAGGCCACCGUGUGCUGAUCGUGAAGACAUGCCGAACAAGUGGGAGAACGCCAAGCUGGACGAGGUGACGGAAAAAGUUAACAAAACUCCAUCAUGUUGGUGUGGAGAUGUUUGCAAGGUGAAGGUGUCCACCGACCGCAAGAAGUUAUGGACGGAAGGGAGAAGAUUCUUUGUGUGUCCCAACUAUGCACAUGAUCGGAGGCUACCAACAAACGCAUAUGACGUACCACCGUCACCGCCUCCUCUUUGCAAGUACUUCACAUGGAUAGAUCAAGAUGUUCCAGAGGAUGUCAAAAAGGACCAAUAUCAAGAUUGUCUUAGGAGGCAACGGCGGUUUGAAGAAGCAUUUCAGAGGGGCUUGGACGAAGAGCGUCGUCAGAAGGAGAAGAUGGAACGAAAGAAACGCGAGGAGGAGAGGGCACGCAAAGAGAAGGUUGCUCGUGCAGAAGAGAGGGCAAGAAAGCUUGCACGGGCUCGUGAUGCACAAGAGGAGGAUGAGGCACGUUACAAGAAGGGCAAAGGGCCCAUGUUUCCUUAG